UACGUAGGGUGCGAGCGUUGUCCGGAAUUAUUGGGCGUAAAGAGCUCGUAGGCGGCUUGUCGCGUCGGAUGUGAAAGCCCGGGGCUUAACUCCGGGUCUGCAUUCGAUACGGGCAGGCUAGAGCUCGGUAGGGGAGAUCGGAAUUCCUGGUGUAGCGGUGAAAUGCGCAGAUAUCAGGAGGAACACCGGUGGCGAAGGCGGAUCUCUGGGCAUUACCUGACGCUGAGGAGCGAAAGUGUGGGGAGCGAACAGG
rnacentral:rRNA from 1 species